rnacentral:piRNA from 1 species
CUAAGGUGAGGGUCUAAUGA